CCGUAGUUUUGCCUUUAUAGGAUGUCAUAUAAAUGAGCCUGGCUUCUUUCACCCACCAUAAUGCAUUUGAGAUUCAUCUAUCUUGUUGAAUACAUCUGUAGUUAGGCUUGUUACUCACAGGUUUUCAUAAAUUAUUAUGCUAAAACCAAAAUUGCUUAAGGCUAAAGGUGAACUUUUCGUUUGUCUUUCCAGUUAAAGGUCAUGACUUAAGAAUCAACUAGAGGUUAUGAGACAUGAACAGCUGGCUAUAGAGAUUAUGUCAAAGAAAAUAAUAUGCUUUAUUUUUAAGAUCAUGACUUAUGACACCAAAAUGAAAUGCUCUUGGCAAGGAAUAGAAAUACUGCCCUUGGAGGUUAUUAGGUAUAAACUAGCUGGGGGGGACAGAAGCAAUGGAGAAGAUGCCAAGUAAUUUAUAAAACGAAAUAACAGAGAAUAGAAUCAUAGGGUAAAUCUGACAUCUUCAGAGUGACUAUAGCAAUGAAAGAAGUAUGUGUAAUAAACAAAAUGAACUUGAGACAUUUAACCCAAUGAAAUCCAUACAAGGUCAUGAAUGCCACUGAGAGUAGGUAGGAUUGUUGACAAAUGAUGAUAAAAGGAGAAAAUAUCCAGCUUUAAGGGAAAAGAUAACGCUCAGAGAAGGAAGUAUUGGGGAAAAGGACAGCUCUAUAUUUCAAGAAUGUCUAAACCUAAAUGGAAGCUCAGGAAGCUAGAUCAGAAUAUCACACUGUCAAACAUUUGGAUGAGGAUGCAGGAAUGCCAAGUAUACAUGGUACUGUAACUGUGCCAAUCAGAGAUAGGAUUUAGCCAUAGCAUAAGAGGAAAAAUGCCAUCAUGUGUUUGAGGAACAUGACUGUCACCUACUAGCAACUUACUCUUUCAGGAGGUCAAACACAUCACAAGAUUUUUCAAUCAGGAUGAAUAGAGGCAGG
rnacentral:lncRNA from 1 species